rnacentral:rRNA from 1 species
UGGCGGACGGGUGAGUAACGCGUGGGCAACCUGCCUUACACAGGGGGAUAACACUUAGAAAUAGGUGCUAAAACCGCAUAAGCGCACAGCUUCGCAUGAAGCGGUGUGAAAAACUCCGGUGGUGUAAGAUGGACCCGCGUCUGAUUAGCUUGUUGGCGGGGUAACGGCCCACCAAGGCGACGAUCAGUAGCCGGCCUGAGAGGGCGGACGGCCACAUUGGGACUGAGACACGGCCCAGACUCCUACGGGAGGCAGCAG